rnacentral:lncRNA from 1 species
CAAACACCGGAAUCAGAGUCUACAUGAAAAACUGAGUAAAAUAGGUUUCGGGGUCGAAAACCCUCAAAAGUCAACCAAAAGUCAACAUUUUCAAUCAUGUGAACAGUGCCUGCGCUUGGGCGCCAGCCUUCGUCACAAAACAGAGUCAAAAUGGCAUUUCUAGACUUCUCUGGGCGCCACUCCUCUAAAACGGUGCGCCACAGACAAAUUGUGCAGGAUUUCUGCAGGACAGCCUCUCAUUGCAACGAUCAUAACUUGGGCUACGAAAAUCCAAUGGAGACGCACAUAUACUCGUUGGAAAGCUAACAAACAGGGCUACAACUUUUAUGUUGGCCACUAAAACCAGUUCACAACGAAAAGAGGUCAAAAAUGUACGUAAAUGUUCAGACCUCAUAGAUAACAAUUUUCUACAUUUCUCAUUUCAAACUCUAAACUCUCAAGACUCUCACAUAGACCAUUUUUCAUAUUCUAAACUCCAUCACACAUAUAUACAUACUCNNNNNNNNNNNNNNNNNNNNNNNNNNNNNCAUCAAUACAUCAUUCAUUGCUUAUUAUUCAAAGAAAUUCAUGAACAUUUUGCAAAACUCAUCAACACUUUGCAAAUCAUUGAGCUUGGCUAAGGCCAAUCUAGGGCUUAGGCAAAGUACACCAAAAUAACCACACAUCAACACAAUCAACCAAGC